GACGAACUGUGCGAACGUUAUUCGGAAUCACUGGGCUUACAGGGUGCGUAGGCGGCUUGUUAAGUAGGGUGUGAAAUCCCCCGGCCCAACCGGGGAAUGGCGCUCUAAACUAGCAGGCUUGAGUGAGCUAGGGGUACACGGAACUUCCAGUGGAGCGGUGAAAUGUGUUGAUAUUGGAAGGAACACCGGAGGCGAAAGCGGUGUACUGGGGCUCAACUGACGCUGAGGCACGAAAGCCAGGGGAGCGAACGGG
rnacentral:rRNA from 1 species